rnacentral:tRNA from 1 species
UCCCUGGUGGUCCAGUGGUUAAGACAUUGCCUUCCAAUGCACAGGGUGCAGGUUUGAUCCCUGGCCAGGGAA